rnacentral:siRNA from 1 species
UACAGUGGCUGCCACUAGCAUUU